AAAUUACAGUUUCUUCAACCAAGAGAUGUGACAAUACGAAUGUUACAGAAAAGCUUGACAUGUUAACACAUCGUGGUGAUGAUACAGUAAUGCAGUCUGGUUUUCAGUAUCAUUAAGUGUGCAGGAACAACACAGCUAAUGAAACCAAGACAAGAGGAAAAUAAAGUCUGUGCUGUUGGCUGUCUGAAGUAAAAAGCAGCACCACACUGCCCAAAGAAACAAGGAUCUCUAGAAAUCAUGAUACACCAUCAGAUGUCAAGGACUAAGGGGAAUAUUUCAGGAAGUCCCCUCCAGGAGUGAAGCAGCCUCUUGUCCACACUCAUUUCCUCGGAAACAAAAGCAUUCUGUGAAAUUACAGGAUGAGUAGUUCAGUAUCAUGCAGCAAGGACAACUGAAAUCCACAAUGAAGCAGGCUCUGGACCUUUAUGGUGACCAGAAUGACAAAGAAGGAGCACACUGGCGGCAUAUUGUCCUGAUUCACAUGACCAGGCUGCAGUGUGGAUGCAUCACACGAGCAGUGGGGCUCACCACUUAGCAACUGGCUUAGGUGUCACUGCCUUGUAACAAGGAAGACUUCCUUUUAGUACAUCAGGAUCUGGAAAUCAGUGGCUUCCAGUCACUGGGAUGAAUUUUUGCUCCAGAACAAAGUGAGAGAAAAAAGCAAUGUCCAGUGUUUUAGCAGCCAUAAAAAAAAAUCAUAUAGCCAAAAAGUGAUGAGACAAGAAGAUGCUGGUCUCACUCUACCUUAGCAGUUAAGAUGCUUAUUUAAA